rnacentral:rRNA from 1 species
UACGUAGGGAGCGAGCGUUAUCCGGAUUUAUUGGGUGUAAAGGGUGCGUAGGCGGGAGUUUAAGUUAGUUGUGAAAUCCCUCGGCUCAACUGAGGAACUGCAACUAAAACUGAGCUUCUUGAGUACUGGAGAGGAAGGUGGAAUUCCUAGUGUAGCGGUGAAAUGCGUAGAUAUUAGGAGGAACACCAGUGGCGAAGGCGACUUUCUGGACAGAAACUGACGUUGAGGCACGAAAGUGUGGGGAGCAAAC